GUGGGGAAUAUUGGACAAUGGGGGGAACCCUGAUCCAGCCAUGCCGCGUGUGUGAAGAAGGCCUUUUGGUUGUAAAGCACUUUAAGCGAGGAGGAGGCUACCGAGAUUAAUACUCUUGGAUAGUGGACGUUACUCGCAGAAUAAGCACCGGCUAACUCUGUGCCAGCAGCCGCGGUAAUACAGAGGGUGCAAGCGUUAAUCGGAUUUACUGGGCGUAAAGCGCGCGUAGGUGGCCAAUUAAGUCAAAUGUUAAAUCCCCGAGCUUAACGUGGGAAUUGCAUUCGAUACAGGUUGGCUAGAGUAUGGGAGAGGAUGGUAGAAUUCCAGGUGUAGCGGUGAAAUGCGUAGAGAUCUGGAGGAAUACCGAUGGCGAAGGCAGCCAUCUGGCCUAAUACUGACACUGAGGUGCGAAAGCAUGGGGAGCAAACAGGAUUAGAAACCCCUGUAGUCC
rnacentral:rRNA from 1 species